rnacentral:lncRNA from 1 species
UAGCAUAUUGAAAAUGAUCCACAGCACGAACUGGUUCUCCAGUUUUAGAGUGCGAGAUUAAGGAUUCUAACAAGAUUUGAAUAACCCAUUUCCGAGCAUGAGAGUAGGAUUUUAUACGCGAAGGAUGGAGGAUUUGAGCUGUGAGGUUACGCCUCAAAAGUCUCCAAGUUGGACCAUAGGGAGCAAAACUGAUAUUAUGUUGAUUACAGCUUAAAAUCUUGGCUAUGGUAGGAAGUUCGGGGCGGUCGGCAAACAAAGCACCGUUUUGAAUUAACGCCUGGUGGGCGAGAGAGCGAUCGGAGAUGAAAAUAGCAGGGCGAGAAAGAAUGUUGAGAGUGACCAUCGGACCAAGCUUGUUAUGGAGGUUCCGGAGGAUUGGUUCCAGCUCGGAAACGUUUCUCCUGACCCAUAAAAUGUUGCUGAUAAUGGGAAUGUUGGCAGGGCCCGGAGGGAGUGUUUGGGAAGGGUUCUCGGAAUGGGAUGAAAGAAGGUUAAUGAGAGCUCUAAAGAGAAGAGAAAUGGAGAUGGUGACGAGAAUGAUGAACCAGGUUUCCAUGUUGCUUUGGGUUGGGAGAGAGUUGUGUGGUGGAUAUAUAAAAGAGGAUUUGAGGGAGCGGCAAGUAUUAUUUGUAAUUUGAGUUUGUUGGCAAAAGCUUGACUUCAUGUAACGAGGUCAAGAGAGAUACGAAAUGAACACUACUGUGCUUUUUAAUUGGAAGAUGGUAGAUUGAUAGCAUGGCCAACAUUUUUUGUGGUGGUUGACCAGAGUGAGUCUCUAGGCAUUUUGUCUAACAUAAAAGCGGGAUGCUACUGAUUGCUCACUUCAACUGUAUUUUAAAUGCUUACCAUGGUUUCAUUUUUAAAUCGAUCUUAGUACCAAUUCAAGAGUCACAAGUCUUUCUCUUGUCUUAAUUGAGGCUUAUCUUAAUAUCUCUUAUAAAACGUCUAUUCAAUGAAGAAUGUUGAAUAAAUUUUGAUAUCACAUUACACUAAUUUACAUUUUCAAUCAAAAAAAAUGUUUUUUUAUUAAAUAAAAAUAGAUCUUCCAAACUUUUUUCAUUUUUUAUUAAUGUGGAAUUUAUGUAGUGUAUAAUGUUAUUAAAAAUUAUAUUUUUUAAAAAAUUAUCUAAUUCUAAUAGAUUUUUGUUUUUUAUAUAGUAAAUAUACAAGUUGCUAGUUAUUUAAUAUAUUAUAGGGACAUGUUUUCAUCUUAAUUUGUAACGAGAAAAUAAUUUUAAUAUACAGCUUGCUUUAUAUUUUAAAUAUAUAAUUUUAAUUCAACAACACUUUCUUACAAAAAUAAUUACAUGAAUAACACAUUACUUAUAAUUAAUAGAUAUCUUUGAAAAAUAUAAAAUUGAUAACAAAUCUCAUAUAUAUAUAUAUAUAUAGAAAUAAAUUGAUAAUAUGUUGUCUUUUUGUUAAUAAUAAAUGUAUACAUUCCUUUUUACAUUUCAUUUUUCCAAUAGUUGCAUACUCACACAAUGUACAAAUUUAUGUAAAACAAUUAUACGAUAACAUAGUAUGAUUUUGUUUUAUUUAUAUAAUCAUAUACAGAUUAACAUUGCAGACCAUUAUAAAGUUCAUCAUCCAAUCAAACAUAUAAACGAAUGUAUAGAAUUUAAGGAGAAAAAGAAAAUGAUGAAGUAAUAUUUGAAAAAAAUCAUAAUCUUUGAUAUUUCAUUAUUUCAAUAAUUAAUUCAUUUAUACCAAAAACUUUACGCGCAUAAGAUAUAUAUAAAACCGAUACAAAUUGAAGGAUUCUAUUAACCAAUCUUUAGAUAUAUAUAGAUAAUUUAUAUAUUAUAUUCACAACUCAAAAUUCCAACACAAUUAAAUAGGAUAUUACUAUUACUUAAUUCAAUAUAACAAAUUAAUUAAUAAAUAAGAAAAUUGUCAUACGAAUAUUCUAAAAUAUUAAUUUUGACGGAAUGGGGCUUAAAAUUGAAGGCCUGAACUGGUAGAUGGGCUCAUAAACAGGGUUAACUCCCAGCUUAGUUAUGCCGUUAGGCCCAUGGAAAACAACCAGAAGACGAGGACCCAGCCCGAGAAAUCAACAUUGGAAUGCAGGAUUUGAUAAAUCCCAGAACCCAAGAAACAGCUCGGAGAAACAAGAUUUUGAAUUUUGAAUUUUGAAUUUACACGGAAGCUUUGGGGAGGAGAAUGAGAAUCAAGCAUGGCAACCACUUCCAAGAACAUGAAGGGUUUCUACAGGCAAAAGAAGAACAACAGUAGGGGACGCAUAACCAAGUCGAAAUCCUCGAAAUCAACCGAAAACCCGUCGCCCAAACACCCCGCUACUUUCAGUUCCGAUAUCACCCAGCCCGCCGCCCUUACUUCUCCCGGUGGUUCCCUCGAUCUCAAAGGUCACUCUCUUUUCCCUUUUUCUUUUAAUGGGUAUUUAUAAAAAAAUAAAUACUAUUAUAUUUCUUUACUUACUUUUAUUGGUUUUUGGGGAGGAAGCAGAUGAUUUUGAUGAGCAAGAGGAAGUGUUAAGGCAAUUUGAUAUGAACAUGGCAUAUGGACCGUGCCUUGGGAUAACGCGGAUGGCUCGUUGGGAAAGAGCUCAAAGGUUGGGGCUAAACCCUCCUAAAGAAAUUGAGAAUCUCUUGAAAGGUGGGAAAGUGAAGUUAGAAUCCUUAUUUGAUGGUCGUGUUUAGUUAAUUGUUACUGAUGUUUUUAGGGUGAAAUGUACAGCCUCUAGCUGUGCUUUUAGUUUGGUGGUCAGUGUUCUUAAUGUUGUAAUGAACUGGAGAAGUUUGGCAAUAUUAAUGGAGAUGUUAUGCGACGACUGAUUAGUUGUUUAAUGUUGUGUUAUGAUUAAAAUUGGAUCUAACAAGUUGAUUUCUUUUAGAGUAAUUAGCUUGUUCCUAGCUAAUUUUGGCCUCUAAAAGAGUUGAAGGGAAAGGGUUGCAUAUGUUGGGUUAUUUUACCUUGGAAUUUCUUUCAAUAACUAAUCUGGCUGCUACUUGCGUUCUAAAAUAUGUCUUGUUUAGCAGCAUCAAAUAUUCAAGUUGUAGCAAUUCAUGUGGUUUCCUGCUUGCUAGUGUAUAGCUUGUAACAACUCUGGGAAAUUCUAGUUGUUUAUUGAUCUAAUUAAAGGGUAUAGAGUAAUAUUAGCUUAUACUAUCAACACAUUAAAGUAGUUUAUCAAGCUUUAAUCUAUCAUGCAGUCUUAGGGUUAAGUAACCUGAUGAAUGAUUGUAGAAUAUAUGCCCAAUGCCGAAUUGCGGGUACAUGAAAUUUCACUGGUCAAUGCAUAUGACGAAUCACAUUGUACAAUCAUGUUAAGCCAUCUUUUGAACAAUGGGAAGAUCUUAAAGUUACUUGUGUGCCUAUUUGGUGCUAGUGCUACUGAUUCAUUUUGUUUAAAUACUGUUACAUACUUGUUCUCAUGUCAGUUAUCAGAGUAUUAGGUAUCCACAUAUUGCCCUUAAAUAAGUUGGAAGUGGAAGAGAGAAAAGGAAAGGUAAAGGAAGCAAUUCUAUCAUCUAAUUUUUAUGCAUGUGAGUGGAAUUCCAAUUUAAUUUCUUAUUAAAGGGAAAGGAGAAGGUGAAAAAGAAGAUGCUGCACCACAUAUAACUACCAUUUGGUUUGGGCUUGACAAGCAACUUAAAUUGAAAAAUGAGAAUUUUUCUCAUCUGGACAUGUUCAUGGCAAGAGUGUCUAUACUAAUAGACAAUAUAUUAGGGUUUUCAAAAAAAUUAUGACAGAACUCAAAGCACACAGUUAAGUAAAGACUGGAAAGUUGAAUUUAAAUCUUGCUCGGUUUAAUUUGCCAUAGAAACACAAGAACCCAGCUACAUUUUCCAUCUGAAAUCAUGGAAGCAGAAACGAUUAUCUCACAUACAUAACUUGCCACUAUAACAGCUCUUUCAUCUCUAAAAAUGUUAAAAUCUGAUAGUGUUGUGCACUUGCAAUAACAAAUCCAAAGACAUCAUCACUAUUAGGGACCUAAAACUACCUCUGAUUCUUCUUACUUGGUCAUGUUCAUUCAUAUAUAUAUCUAACGACAUAAAAAAAAUAUCCAUAUUACUUAUUGGUUGAUAAUGACUUGUGGCUUGUCAUAGCUAGCAAGCACGUUAGUUUUUGUUAUGAAAUAAAAAAUCUUAUACGUUACAUACAACAUAUGCGAUAAUAAUUUUAUAUUCUAAAUAAUAAUAAUUAUGUGUACCAAAUCUAUUUCGAAACAAGCAAAUUGAAUUUUCCAAUUUUUUUAGACCAAGAUAUUUACCAAAUCUUUUAAAAUUCCUAUGAACUUUUAAUUUGUUAUCAUAAUACAAUAAAAGACCAAAUCUUCCAAACCCACUAUCAAUUUAAUCUGUUUGUAAAACUUGUUAAAAUCAAAAUCAUAUAUAUAUAUAUAAAACANGAUAAUGACUUGUGGCUUGUCAUAGCUAGCAAGCACGUUAGUUUUUGUUAUGAAAUAAAAAAUCUUAUACGUUACAUACAACAUAUGCGAUAAUAAUUUUAUAUUCUAAAUAAUAAUAAUUAUGUGUACCAAAUCUAUUUCGAAACAAGCAAAUUGAAUUUUCCAAUUUUUUUAGACCAAGAUAUUUACCAAAUCUUUUAAAAUUCCUAUGAACUUUUAAUUUGUUAUCAUAAUACAAUAAAAGACCAAAUCUUCCAAACCCACUAUCAAUUUAAUCUGUUUGUAAAACUUGUUAAAAUCAAAUAUUCAUAUAUAUAUAUAUAUAUAUAUAUAUAUAUAUAUAUAUAUAUAUCACUUUUCCUAUAAGGCUCUUGAAUCAUUAUUUGUUUCUGCAUAAUAACUACAUUUAUCAUUAUAACUAUUUGUAGAAUAACUAAAAUCCAAAGUCAUUUCUCAAGUACUUAUUUCGACAUCAAGCAUACGAAAACUUUCACUUUGUCUAAUGCUCUUUCAGGUAAGAGGAAAAAGAUUUACCUCUAAUGUAUGGAAAGAGAAUAUGUUUGAAGCACUACUCCACGGAAAGUUUAUAGAUGAAGCUUUGGCUAUUAGUUCCAUAUUAAACUUGUAAUUUGAAACAAAAUCAACAUAGUGGUGUUGGAGUUGAAUGUUGAAGAUGAUAAAAAAGAAAGCAUUUGAGCGUGCAUGCCAAGUUUGUAUUUGCAUCAUAUGUAAGAUUGAGUUAAUGGGCUUCCACCUAAAAGGAUUGAUGGCCCUUUGCCUAUUGUUUCAACUUUACAAUUUCAGGUCUACGGUCUUUCUAACACUACUUUUGAUGAAGCCCCAAAAGCCCAUAGCCCCUAAUUCCUCUGCCUCUUGGAAUCAAUUUUCUUUCCGGUCUAUUGGUUAUCUAAAAAUUCACUAAAGCAAAGACAACGGAUUAACUGGUCUAUAUUUGAACCUUGCUUCAUCUUCCAUGUUCUUCCCAAAUUCGCCAGAAAAAAAAAUGGCGUGUCCAAAUUGUUGAAAAUGGAUUGAGAAUCAAAAGUUUUUCCUAGUUCCCAUGAUUUAACACAAGUUCAAAUUAAAGCAGGUGGCUAAUCCAGGAGAGUUAAUGCUUAACAUGAGCCCAAUAUGCAACCUUAUCGAGUAGGUCAAUCAAAGGCCAAUAUUUCUCAACCUAAGUUGACAGUAAUUUUUUGGAAGAUUAUCAUCCUGCUUUCAUUAAAAGGAAGGAAUGAAAUAAUUCCUUCCAUCAAGAGGAACCAUUACAAACAGACCCACCCAUACACCCACUUCUUCCAGGCAAGUAGAUAACUCCAACACCCCUUUAUAACAUUUAUUGUCCAUCAGUUGAAGUAGUCGAUUCAUUCAUAAGGGUCAUUAUCAUCGUUUAUUGAAUUAUUUCCAUAUCUGUAGAUCAAUGGAAGCAACGUUACUGCUGCUGGAGUACACGACAAAUAAUAAGUUAUUUUAUCUUGUAGUGGAGUUUAACUCGACUGUACUCAGUAUCCAACCACACAUGAAUCCAGAACUCAAUCCAUUUAAUGUCAUAAAUGUACCAAAUAGGACACUGCCAAGCUUCUCAUAUAUCAUGUCAUAAUUUAGCUUAAAUUCGACAACCUUAGCAUUUAGGUUAUGAAAUUUAAGAUGUCUUGACAGAAUGAAAAUGACUUGAAGUAGCUAAAUUAUUUAAAUUCGAUCAUCCAUCAGUCACUCUUUUGGGUUCCACUAAAUUCAUUUAAGAUUAAUUCAAGAAAUAAACAAAAAAAAAAUCUCAAUAGAUGUAUUAGACAAAAAACUUUGUGUUGCUGAUCAAUUAAGGAUAAAAACUUGGUCAUGGAAUUGAAUCAUAUGCUGGCUUUGUAAACUCCCUGAACGGAAUUAUACAAAUAAAUUGAACUAAUUUAUGAUAUUAAACUUUGAGUAAUUUUAGUAGCCAAUGGAAAAAUGAAGAAAAAUUUCACCAGGCAAGCGAACAUAACAUUAGCUUUUCCAUUCUGAUUUAAUAAGACUUACAUUAGAUGAAUCCAUGAACAGCCACAUGAAUUUCGGGGCUUAAGAUAUGUGAAAUCAAUGAAGGUUGUAAUUGCCCUGAGCUGAUCAGUCGUAUCAUUCUGGUUUAACAUAUAGAAGCGUAUUUGACAAAGGUUUACAAGUCCUGGAUCAGAAGGAUGGGUAUAUCACUGGACUGAUAUUAAAAGCGAGACUGCCUUUCCAGAAAAAGAAAAGCUAGACUGACAAUUACCUAAGUAUAAUAUCCUAGUAAAAAUCAGUAUCUUAUCUUUUCCUAGGAUAAAUAUGGGCCUGCAAUGGAGUCUUCAUCCCCACCGUGAACUCCUGCUUCUCCUCCAAGCUGACCUCAUCUCCAUCCAUAGCCUUCCAUUCGAGGUUCCAAACAAGAUUUGCCACAAAAUACUCCAGAUGAAGCAUGGCCAAGCCGAGUCCAGGACAAAUCCUCCUCCCUACCCCAAACGGCAUCAUCUUGAUUUCCCUAGUUCCUGUUAUAUCAAAGACUUCCCCGCUUUUAUUGCCACUGCUAAGGAACCUUUCAGGCUUAAAUGACAUUGGAUCCUCCCAUAUUUUCGGAUCCCACCCCAUUUCUGCUAUCAUGAAAUUAAUGGUAGCAUUCUUGGGUACGGAAAAUCCUCCGAGGACUGUGUCUUCUCUCACACUAUGAGGCAGAACAAAGUGGCCUGGUGGGUGCCUUCUUAGCCCCUCCAAGAUCACUGCCUUCAAGUAAGGCAUCUUCUGCAAAUCAUCUUCCUUGACCUCUUCCUCUCCAUCUCUCACAACCCCUUUGAUCUCCAUGAAUAGCUUCUCUUGAACAUGUGGAUAUUUCACCAUGUUUGCCAUAAUCCACUGCAAAGCAGUGGAGGUAGUAUCUGUUCCACCAUUGAGAAACUCAGAGCUCAAAGUGACAAUUUCCUGUUCAGUAAGAUUCCUUUGUCCCUCCGGUAGUUGAAGAUCAAGCAAAGUAUCAACAUACGCCAAAAGAUACUCGUCAUCAUCAGCUUCCUCUUUGUCCUCUUUACUCUUGCUCAAUCUCUCCUCUUUCACUUUCUUUCGUGCCCUUAUCAAAUGAACCAACACCUUUUCUUGAACCUCGAGGGCCUGACAGAACUCCUUCCAACGUUUAUGAAGCAAAAACCUUGUCAAGUUAGGCCAGAAAUUGAGUAGGUUGAAUCUUCCUCCCACGUCUAUUAGCAAACGGCGCUGAAUACUCUCAAUCUCUUUAAUUUGUUCUUGAUUAAGCUUGUCACCGAAACACAUCAGCACCAAUAAGCAGAACAUAGCAUAUUGAAAAUGAUCCACAGCACGAACUGGUUCUCCAGUUUUAGAGUGUGAGAUUAAGGAUUCUAACAAGAUUUGAAGAACCCAUUUCCGAGCAUGAGAGUAGGAUUUUAUACGCGAAGGAUGGAGGAUUUGAGCUGUGAGGUUACGCCUCAAAAGUCUCCAAGUUGGACCAUAGGGAGCAGAGUUGAUAUUAUGUUGAUUACAGGUUACAAUCUUGGCUAUGAAAGGAGGUUCGGGGCGGUCGGCAAACAAAGCACCGCUUUGAAUUAACGCCUGGUGGGCGAGAGAGCGAUCGGAGAUGAAAAUAGCAGGGCGAGAAAGAAUGUUGAGAGUGACCAUCGGACCAAGCUUGUUAUGGAGGUUCCGGAGGAUUGGUUCCAGUUCGGAAAAGGUUCUCCUGAGCCAUAAAAUGUUGCUGAUAAUGGGAAUGUUGGCAGGGCCCGGAGGGAGUGUUUGAGAAGGGUUCUCUGAAUGGGAUGAAAGAAGGUUAAUGAGAGCUCUAAAGAGAAGAGAAAUGGAGAUGGUGACGAGAAUGACGAACCAGGUUUCCAUGUUGCUUUGGGUUGAGAGAGAGUUGGGUGGUGGGUAUAUAAAAGAGGAUUUGAGGGAGCGGCAAGUAUUAUUUGUAAUUUGAGUUUGUUGGCAAAAGCUUGACUUCAUGUAACGAGGUCAAGAGAGAUACGAAAUGAAUACUACUAUGCUUUUUAAUUGGAAGAUGAUAGAUUGAUAGAAUGGCUAACCUUUUUGUGGUGGUAGACGAGAGUGAGUCUCUAGAUAUUUUGUCUGAGAUAUUAGCGGGAGCUUCAACUGUAUUUUAAAUGCUUACCGUGGUUUCAUUUUUAAAUCUUAGCACCAAUUCAAGAAUCACAAGUCCUUCUCUUAUCUUAAUUGAGGCUUAUCUUAAUUCUUAAUAUCUCUUAUAAAACGUCUAUUCAAUGAAGAAUAUUGAAUAAAUUUUGAUAUCAUAUUACAUCGGUUUACAUUUUCAAUCCUAAAAAUGCAUUUGUUUAUUAGAUGAAAAAAGAUCUUCCAAACUUAUUUCAUCUUUUAUUAAUGUGGAAUUUAUGUAGUGUAUAAUGUUAUCAAAAAUUCUAUUUUUACAAAAAUUAUACAAUUUUAAUAAAUUUCUGUUUUUAAUAUAGUAAAUAUACAAGUUGCUAGUUAUUUAAUAUAUUAUAGGGACAUGUUUUCAUCUUAACUUGUAACGAGAAAAUAAUUUUAACAUAUAGCUCGCUUUAUAUUUUAAAUAUAUAAUUUUAAUUCAAUAACACUUUUUUUAAAAAAAUUACCUGAAUAACACAUUACUUAAAUUAAUAGAGAUCUUUAAAAAAUAUUAAAAUUAAAUAACAAAUCUCAUAUAUAUAUAUAUAUAUAUAUAUAUAGAAAUAAAUUGAUAGUAUGUUGUCUUUUUGUUAAUAAUAAAUGUAUACAUUCCUUUUUAUGUUUCAUUUUCCCUAUAGUUGCAUACUCACACAAUGUACAAGUUUAUGUAAAACAAUUAUACGAUAACAUAUUAUAAUUUUGUUUUAUUUAUAUAAUCAUAUACAUAUUAACACUGCAAACCAUUAUAAAGCUCAUCAUCCAAUCAAAAAUAUAAACGCAUGUAUAUAAUUUAAGGAGAAAAAAAUGAUGAAGUAAUAUUUCAAAAAAAUCACAAUCUUUUUUAUUAUAAGUGGGGGAGGGGGAUUCGAAUCUUACUUUUUAGAUAGGGAGAUUGUAUAUCAACAAAUGAGUCAAAUGCUUAGGUGCAAAAAAAGUCAUAAUCUUUGAUAUUUUAUUAUUUCAGUAAUUAAUUCAUUUAUACCAAAAACUUUACGCACAUAAGAUAUAAAAAAAAUACAAAUUGAAGGAUUCCAUUAACCAAUCUUUAAAAAUAUAUAUAAUUUAUAUAUUAUAUUCACAACUCAAAAUUCCAACACAAUUAAAUAGGAUAUUACUAUUAAUUACAUUCAAUAUAACAAAUUAAUUAAUAAAUAAGAAAAUUGUCACACUAAUAUUCUAAAAUAUCAAUUUUGAUGGAAAUGGGGAUUAAAAUUGAAGGCCUGAACUGGUAACCGGGCUCAUAAGCAGAGUUAACUCGUUAGGCCCAUGGAAAACAACCAGAAGACGAGGGCCCAGCCCUAGAAAUCAGCAUCGGAAUGCAAAAUUUGAUAAAUGCCAGAACCCAAGAAACAAUUCGGAGAUACAAAAUUUGGAAUUUUGAAUUUAAACGGAAGCUUUGGGGAGGAGAAGGCGAAUCGAGAAUGGCAACCACUUCCAAGAACAUGAAGGGUUUCUACAGGCAAAAGAAGAACAACAGUAGGGGAGGCAUAACCAAGUCGAAAUCCUCGAAAUCAACCAAAAACCCGUCGCCCAGUCACGCCGCUACUUUCGGUUCCGAUAUCACCCAGCCCGCCGCCCUUACUUCUCCCGGCGGUUCCCUCGAUCUCAAAGGCCACACUCUUUUCCCUUUUUCUCUUAAUGGGUAUUUAUAAAAAAUAAAUACUAUUAUAUUUCUUUACUUACUUUUAUUGGUUUCUUGGGAGGAAGCAGAUGAUUUUGAUGUGCAAGAGGAAGUGUCAAGGCAUUUUGAUAUGAACAUGGCAUAUGGACCGUGCCUUGGGAUAACGCGGAUGGCUCGUUGGGAAAGAGCUCAAAGGUUGGGGCUAAACCCUCCUAAAGAAAUUGAGAAUCUCUUGAAAGGUGGGAAAGUGAAGUUAGAAUCCUUAUUUGAUGGUCGUGUUUAGUUAAUUGUUACUAAUGAUUUUUGGGUGACAUGUACAGCCUCUAGCUGUACUUUUAGUUUGGUGUUCAGUGUUCUUAAUGUUGUAAUGAACUGGAGAAGUUUGGCAAUAUUAAUGGAGAUGUUAUGCGAUGACUGAUUUGGUGUUUAAUGUUGUGUUAUGAUUAAAAUUGGAUCUAACAAGUUGAUUUUCUUUUAGAGUAAUUCGCGUGUUCCUAACUGAUUUUGGCCUUUAAAAGAUUUGAAGGGAAAGGGUUGCAUAUGUUGGGUUAUUUUACCUUGGAAUUUCUUUCAAUAACUAAUCCGGCUGCCACUUGUGUUCUAAAAUAUGUCUUCUUUAGCAGCAUCAAAUAUUCAAGUUGUAGCAGUACAUGUGGUUUCCUACUUAAUAGCGUAUAGCCUAUAGUUUUAUAUCAUAAAUUAGUUCAAAUAUUCAAGGUGUGUUCUAAAAUGGCUUGAAGUGGCUGAAUUACUUAAAUUCGAUCAUCAAUCAGUCACUCUUUUGGGUUCCACUUGAUUCAUUUAAAAUUAAUUCAAGAAAUAAACCAAAAAAAAAUCUCAGUAGAUGUAUUAGACAAAAAACUUUGUGCUGCUGAUCAAUUAAGGAUAAAAACUUGGUCGUGGAAUCGAAACAUAUUCAUUAUUCUGGCAUUGUAAACUCCUUGAACAGAAUUAUACAAAUAAAUUGAACUAAUUUAUGAUAUAAAACUUUGAGUAAUUUUAGUAGCCAAUGGAAAAAUGAAGAAAUAUUUCACCAGGCAAGUGAACAUAACAUUAGCUUUUCCAUUCUGAUUUAAUAAGACUUACAUUAGAUGAACCCAUGAGCAGCCACAUGAAUUCCAGGGCUUAAGAUAUGUGAAAUCAAUGAAGGUUGUUGCUACAAUUCUGGAAGAAUUUACUAUCCAGCUAAUUGCCCUGAGCUGGUCAGUCGUAUCACUCUGGUUUAACACAUAGAAGCGUAUCUGACAAAGGUUUACAAGUCCUGGAUCAGAGGAUGUGUAUAUCACUGGACAGAUAUUAAAAGCUAGACUGACUUUCCAGAAAAAGAAAAGCUAGACUGGCAAUUACCUAUAUAUAAUAUACUGGUAAAAAUCGGUAUCUUAUCUUUUCCUAGGAUGAAUAUGGGCCUGCAAUGGAGUCUUCAUCCCCACUGUGAACUCCUGCUUCUCCUCCAAGCUCACCUCAUCUCCAUCCAUAGCCUUCCAUUCGAGUUUCCAAACCAGAUUUGCCACAAAAUACUCCAGAUGAAGCAUGGCCAAGCCGAGUCCAGGACAAAUCCUCCUCCCUACCCCAAACGGCAUCAUCUUGAUCUCCCUACUUCCUGUUAUAUCAAAGACUUCCCCACUUUUAUUGCCACUGCUAAGGAACCUUUCAGGCUUAAAUGACAUUGGAUCCUCCCAUACUUUCGGAUCCCGCCCCAUUUCUGCUACCAGGAAAUUAAUGGUAGCAUUCUUGGGUACCGAAAAUCCUCCGAGGACUGUGUCUUCUCUCACGCUAUGAGGCAGAACAAAGUGGCCUGGUGGGUGCCUCCUUAGCCCUUCCAAGAUCACUGCCUUCAGGUAAGGCAUCUUCUGCAAAUCAUCUUCCUUGACCUCUUCCUCUCCAUCUCCCACAACCCCUUUGAUCUCCAUUAAUAGCUUCUCUUGAACAUGUGGAUAUUUCACCAUGUUUGCCAUAAUCCACUGCAAAGCAGUGGAGGUAGUAUCUGUUCCAGCACUGAGAAACUCAGAGCUCAAAGUGGCAAUUUCCUGUUCAGUAAGAUUCCUUUGUCCCUCCGAUAAUUGAAGAUCAAGCAAAGUAUCAACAUACGCCAAAAGAUACUCGUCAUCAUCAGCUUCCUCUUUGUCCUCUUUACUCUUGCUCAAUCUCUCCUCUUUCACUUUCUUUCGUGCCCUUAUCAAACGAACCAACACCUUCUCUUGAUCCUCAACGGUCUGAAAGAACUCCUUCCAACGUUUAUGAAGCAAAAACCUUGUCAAGCUAGGCCAGAAAUUGAGUAGGUUGAAUCUUCCUCCCAUGCCUAUUAGCAAACGGCGCGCAACAUUCUCAAUCUCUUUAAUUUGUUCUUGACUAAGCUUGUCACCGAAACACAUCAGCACCAAUAAGCAGAACAUAGCAUAUUGAAAAUGAUCCACAGCACGAACUGGUUCUCCAGUUUUAGAGUGUGAAAUUAAGGAUUCUAACAAGAUUUGAAUAACCCAUUUCCGAGCAUGAGAGUAGGAUUUUAUACGCGAAGGAUGGAGGAUUUGAGCUGUGAGGUUACGCCUCAAAAGUCUCCAAGUUGGACCGUAGGGAGCAGAGUUGAUAUUAUGUUGAUUACAGGUUACAAUCUUGGCUAUGAAAGGAGGUUCGGGGCGGUCGGCAAACAAAGCACCGCUUUGAAUUAACGCCUGGUGGGCGAGAGAGCGAUCGGAGAUGAAAAUAGCAGGGCGAGAAAGAAUGUUGAGAGUGACCAUCGGACCAAGGUUGUUAUGGAGGUUCCGGAGGAUUGGUUCCAGCUCGGAAAAGGUUCUCCUGAGCCAUAAAAUGUUGCUGAUAAUGGGAAUGUUGGCAGGGCCUGGAGGGAGUGUUUGGGAAGGGUUCUCGGAAUGGGAUGAAAGAAGGUUAAUGAGAGCUCUAAAGAGAAGAGAAAUGGAGAUGGUGACGAGAAUGAUGAACCAGGUUUCCAUGUUGCUUUGGGUCGAGAGAGAGUUGUGUGGUGGGUGAAAGAGGAUUUGAGGGACCGGCAAGUAUUUGUAAUUUGAGUUUGUUGGCGAGAGCUUGACUUCAUGUAACGAGGUCAAGAGAGAUAGGAAAAGUAUACUGCUGUGCACUUUAAUUGGAAGAUGAUAGAACAGAAUGCCUAACUUGUUUUGUGGUGUUAGACUAGAG